GUCUUGCGUUAGAUAGUUUAAGCUAUAAUUUUAUUAUAGUUAGGAAAGUCCGAACACAAUGAUCCCCUUUUGGGGUGGGAAUAAUAGUGGGUAACGCCCACAUAUAGCAAUAUAUAGGUGCGAACAGAGACGUUCUAUAGCGAAAGCUCUAGAAUGCCAUACAGGCAACUGUGUGGUAAGCUCUACAGUGAUGUAGAAGAUGAAACGGCUAAAUCCUUAUUUUUGUGCAAGAUCGUACUCUAGUUUCGGCUAGAGAGAAUCGCUCGAGUCUAUCAGUAAUGAUAGACCUAGAUAAAUAGCUAUCACCCAAACUUUAGUUUGAGAACAGAAUUCGGCUUAUAGACACAAGACUACA
rnacentral:RNase_P_RNA from 3 species